rnacentral:rRNA from 1 species
UACGUAGGCAGCAAGCGUUGUUCGGAAUUACUGGGCGUAAAGAGUGUGUAGGCGGUGUUCUAAGUUUGUCGUGAAAUCUCCCGGCUUAACCUGGGAAUUGCGUUGGAGACUGCAAGGCUGGAGUCUGGCAGAGGGGGGUAGAAUUCCACGUGUAGCAGUGAAAUGCGUAGAGAUGUGGAGGAACACCGAUGGCGAAGGCAGCCCCCUGGGUCAAGACUGACGCUCAUGCACGAAAGCGUGGGGAGCAAACAGG